rnacentral:rRNA from 1 species
UGGGGAAUUUUCCGCAAUGGGCGAAAGCCUGACGGAGCAAUACCGCGUGAGGGAGGAAGGCUCUUGGGUUGUAAACCUCUUUUCUCAGGGAAGAAGAAAGUGACGGUACCUGAGGAAUAAGCAUCGGCUAACUCCGUGCCAGCAGCCGCGGUAAUACGGAGGAUGCAAGCGUUAUCCGGAAUGAUUGGGCGUAAAGGGUCCGCAGGUGGCAUUGUAAGUCUGCUGUUAAAGAGUUUGGCUCAACCAAAUAAAAGCAGUGGAAACUACAAAGCUAGAGUGUGGUCGGGGCAGAGGGAAUUCCUGGUGUAGCGGUGAAAUGCGUAGAUAUCAGGAAGAACAUCGGUGGCGAAGGCGCUCUGCUAGGCCAAGACUGACACUGAGGGACGAAAGCUAGGGGAGCGAAUGGG